rnacentral:rRNA from 1 species
ACGGGUGAGUAAUGUCUGGGAAACUGCCUGAUGGAGGGGGAUAACUACUGGAAACGGUAGCUAAUACCGCAUAACGUCGCAAGACCAAAGAGGGGGACCUUCGGGCCUCUUGCCAUCAGAUGUGCCCAGAUGGGAUUAGCUAGUAGGUGGGGUAAUGGCUCACCUAGGCGACGAUCCCUAGCUGGUCUGAGAGGAUGACCAGCCACACUGGAACUGAGACACGGUCCAGACUCCUACGGGAGGCAGCAGUGGGGAUUAUUGCACAAUGGGCGCAAGCCUGAUGCAGCCAUGCCGCGUGUAUGAAGAAGGCCUUCGGGUUGUAAAGUACUUUCAGCGAGGAGGAAGGUGUUGAGGUUAAUAACCUCAGCAAUUGACGUUACUCGCAGAAGAAGCACCGGCUAACUCCGUGCCAGCAGCCGCGGUAAUACGGAGGGUGCAAGCGUUAAUCGGAAUUACUGGGCGUAAAGCGCACGCAGGCGGUCUGUCAAGUCGGAUGUGAAAUCCCCGGGCUCAACCUGGGAACUGCAUUCGAAACUGGCAGGCUAGAGUCUUGUAGAGGGGGGUAGAAUUCCAGGUGU